UUUGACCUCAAAUCAGGUAGGACUACCCGCUGAACUUAAGCAUAUCAAUAAGCGGAGGAAAAGAAACUAACAAGGAUUCCCCUAGUAACUGCGAGUGAAGCGGGAAAAGCUCAAAUUUAAAAUCUGGCAGUCUUUGGCUGUCCGAGUUGUAAUCUAGAGAAGUGUUAUCCG
rnacentral:rRNA from 1 species